rnacentral:lncRNA from 1 species
UAAAAAGAGGGAGAGAUUUUGAAAUUAAAUAAAUGGGGGGGAGAUGAAGAGACUAAUCCUAAGCAUAAAUUUAAAAGUUGAGAGUUGAAAAGAUCUAACCAAUGGGCUAUAUAAUCCAACAGACAAGAGUGUCAUAUAAAAACCCAAAUUUCCCUUGGACUUUAGAAUCAAGCAACAAAUAAUGACAAAAAUAUCAACUUGAAGAGAAAGACGUCAAAUAAAGAUAGCCCUAUUCAAGCUUAGCAACUCCAUGAUCUUCUUCAAAUUUG